UUAAAAUCUUUAUUAUUGUUUAGUAUAUACAGGAACAUUGUUAGUAAAACACACACACACACACACACACACACACACACACACACACACACACACACACACACACAGAAACGUACAUAGACUAGAGGAACACAUGAUUAUGGUAAAACACACACACACACACACACACACACACACACACACACACACACACACACACACACACACACACACACACACACACACACACACACACACACACACACACAC